UCUCAGUAAAAAAAAUCCCUAAAACACACGAUAACCUUCUUUUCUCCCUUCUUGUUGCAGACUCUGCAUUCUUCUUCCUCAGACUCUGCGUUUUUCUUCUUCUUGUUGCAGACUCUCCCCAACUUCAGCUCCAAUUUGAAAGCCUCUUCGGUCCAUAAAAUGGAGAGUUUGAACUCUAGUGACAUAGUAGAUCCUUAUCCAAGUUAUUCUUCACAAUAUGAAGAUGAAGAAGAACUGUAGGAAAUACAGAGGGAGCAAGAUGAGAAGGAAUGGACGGCUUUAUGUCAAAUAGCAGGAUUGUAUUGGAGCACUUGAUGGCACACAUGUUAAAGCAAGGUUACCGCAAGGUCAAGAGAUACCAUAUAUUGGACGUAAAGGUUAUCCGACUCAAAAUAUUCUUGUUGUCAUAGAUUUUAAUAUGUGUUUUACAUUUGUAUGGGCUGGGUGGGAAGGAGCAGCUCACGAUAGUCGUAUAUUUGGUAAGGCCCUUCGUAGACCAGAACUCAACUUUUCACGUCCAAUUGGAAAUAAGUAUUAUCUAGUUGAUACAGGAUAUCCGCAUAUGAAGGGAUAUAUGGCUCCAUAAAAAGGAGAUAAUGUGAGAUAUCACCUAGCACAAUUCCGUCGCGGUGCAACAAGGCAAUUGCGAGAACCAAGAGGGCGAAUUGAAAAUUUUAACUAUUUGCAUUCUUCUUGUAGAAAUAUUGUAGAGCGCACAUUUGCGGUUUGGAAAGCAAGAUGGUCUGUUUUGCGAGACAUGCCUUUCUAUCACAUUCACACUUAAAGAGACAUCGUACUUGCUACUAUGGUCAUUCAUAACUAUAUUAGAAAGAAAUACAAUAUGGAUGAUGCAUUCCGAGCAGCUGAGAAUGAGGAAUAUGUUCCAUUUGUUGAUCCUGAUGUUGGUACAUCUUUGAGAGCUAAUAACAAUAUAAAUGUGAAAAAUGUGGAAGAGCAAAGUGAUCUUGUUUA